UACGAAGGGGGCUAGCGUUGCUCGGAAUCACUGGGCGUAAAGCGCACGUAGGCGGCCUUUUAAGUCAGGGGUGAAAUCCUGGAGCUCAACUCCAGAACUGCCUUUGAUACUGAGAAGCUUGAGUCCGGGAGAGGUGAGUGGAACUGCGAGUGUAGAGGUGAAAUUCGUAGAUAUUGGGAAGAACACCGGUGGCGAAGGCGGCGACCUGGUCCUUGUACUGACGCUGAGGCGCGAAAGCGUGGGGAGCAAACAGG
rnacentral:rRNA from 1 species